rnacentral:tRNA from 4 species
CGGGCUGUAGUAUAAGGGUAUUAUACACGCAUGGGGUGCGUGCGAACCGGGUUCAAGCCCCGGCAGCCCGACCA